rnacentral:tRNA from 1 species
GGUCUCUUCGUCUAGUGGUUAGGACACUAGCCUCUCACGCUGGCAACACGGGUUCAAAUCCCGUAGAGAUCACCA